CACCGCGGUUAUACGAGGGGCUCAAAUUGAUAUUACACGGCGUAAAGCGUGAUUAAAAAACAAACAAACUAAAGCCAAACACUUCCCAAGCUGUCAUACGCUACCGGACAAAACGAAGCCCCAUUACGAAAGUAGCUUUAACACCUUUGAACUCACGACAGUUGAGAAA
rnacentral:rRNA from 1 species